AUUGAACGCUGGCGGCAGGCCUAACACAUGCAAGUCGAACGAGUGGCGGACGGGUGAGUAAUGUCUGGGAAACUGCCUGAUGAAGGGGGAUAACUCCUGGAAACGGUAGCUAAUACCGCAUAACAUCAAGUGUUCCCAGAUGGGAUUAGCUUGUUGGUUGGGUAAAGCCUCAUCAAGGCGACGAUCACUAGCUGGUCUGAGAGGAUGACCAGCCACCGUGCAACUGAGACACUGGCUGUACUCCUACGGGAGGCAUGAGGGGGGAAGAUUGCACAAGGGGCGCAAUCCUGAUGCAGCCAUGCCGCGUGUAUGAAGAAGGCCUUCGGGUUGUAAAGUACUUUCAGCGGGGAGGCGUUACCCACAGAAGAAGCACCGGCUAACUCCGUGCCAGCAGCCGCGGUAAUAC
rnacentral:rRNA from 1 species